UGAUUGUGGAUCGAUGCUUGGGGGACCUCCCCAUCGGUGCUAUAUGAAUGACAGAUCUGUAAUCUUGAAUAUCAAAUGUAAUGAACACAACUCACUUGUAGGUUUUGCUUGUGUGGUUUAUUACACAAGUGUGAGUGUCUGUUUUGAGGUUUGUAUUAUUACACAAGUGUGAGUGUCUGUUUUGAGGUUUGUAUCAGGACGAGGUGAUUGUGAUUGCAGGUAAUAAUCGCCAUGGAGUUUGUGUCUGUAUCCCUCUGCUUCUCAGUCGGUGCCUCUCGAAAUUUUUUAUCUUUUUU
rnacentral:lncRNA from 1 species